AUUGAACGCUGGCGGCAGGCCUAACACAUGCAAGUCGAGCGAGCGGCGGACGGGUGAGUAAUGUAUGGGGACUGCCCGAUAGAGGGGGAUAACUACUGGAGACGGUAGCUAAUACCGCCUACUAUCGGAUAAACCCUAUGGGAUUAGCUAGUAGGUGAGGUAAUGGUUCACCUAGGCGACGAUCCCUAGCGGGUCUGAGAGGAUGAUCAGCAACACUGGGACGGAGACACGGCCCAGACUCCUACGGAGGCAGCAGUGGGGAAUAUUGCACAAUGGGCGCAAGCCUGAUGCAGCCAUGCCGCGUGUGUGAAGAAGGCCUUAGGGUUGUAAAGUACGGUCAGUCGGGAGGCGUUACCGACAGAAGAAGCACCGGCUAACUACGUGCCAGCAGCCGCGGUAAUUC
rnacentral:rRNA from 1 species